ACGGGAGGCAGCAGUGGGGAAUAUUGCACAAUGGGGGAAACCCUGAUGCAGCGACGCCGCGUGAAGGAAGAAGUAUCUCGGUAUGUAAACUUCUAUCAGCAGGGAAGAUAAUGACGGUACCUGACUAAGAAGCCCCGGCUAACUACGUGCCAGCAGCCGCGGUAAUACGUAGGGGGCAAGCGUUAUCCGGAUUUACUGGGUGUAAAGGGAGCGUAGACGGCUGUGCAAGUCUGAAAUGAAAGGCAGGGGCUCAACCCCUGGACUGCUUUGGAAACUGUAUGGCUUGAGUGCCGGAGGGGUAAGCGGAAUUCCUAGUGUAGCGGUGAAAUGCGUAGAUAUUAGGAGGAACACCAGUGGCGAAGGCGGCUUACUGGACUGUAACUGACACUGAGGCUCGAAAGCGUGGGGAGCAAACAGGAUUAGAUACCCUGGUA
rnacentral:rRNA from 1 species